rnacentral:rRNA from 1 species
AUUGAACGCUGGCGGCAUGCCCUACACAUGCAAGUCGAACGGUAACAGGUCUUCGGAUGCUGACGAGUGGCGAACGGGUGAGUAAUACAUCGGAACGUGCCCGAGAGUGGGGGAUAACGAAGCGAAAGCUUUGCUAAUACCGCAUACGAUCUCAGGAUGAAAGCAGGGGACCGCAAGGCCUUGCGCUCACGGAGCGGCCGAUGGCAGAUUAGGUAGUUGGUGGGAUAAAAGCUUACCAGGCCGACGAUCUGUAGCUGGUCUGAGAGGACGAUCAGCCACACUGGGACUGAGACACGGCCCAGACUCCUACGGGAGGCAGCAGUGGGGAAUUUUGGACAAUGGGCGCAAGCCUGAUCCAGCAAUGCCGCGUGCAGGAUGAAGGCCUUCGGGUUGUAAACUGCUUUUGUACGGAACGAAAAGCCCUGGGUUAAUACCCUGGGGUCAUGACGGUACCGUAAGAAUAAGCACCGGCUAACUACGUGCCAGCAGCCGCAGUAACAC